GAUUGGUGCUUGCAUCAUGAUUUACAUUUGAGUGAGUGGCGAACUGGUGAGUAACACGUGGGAAACCUGCCCAGAAGCGGGGGAUAACACCUGGAAACAGAUGCUAAUACCGCAUAACAACUUGGACCGCAUGGUCCGAGUUUGAAAGAUGGCUUCGGCUAUCACUUUUGGAUGGUCCCGCGGCGUAUUAGCUAGAUGGUGGGGUAACGGCUCACCAUGGCAAUGAUACGUAGCCGACCUGAGAGGGUAAUCGGCCACAUUGGGACUGAGACACGGCCCAAACUCCUACGGGAGGCAGCAGUAGGGAAUCUUCCACAAUGGACGAAAGUCUGAUGGAGCAACGCCGCGUGAGUGAAGAAGGGUUUCGGCUCGUAAAACUCUGUUGUUAAAGAAGAACAUAUCUGAGAGUAACUGUUCAGGUAUUGACGGUAUUUAACCAGAAAGCCACGGCUAACUACGUGCCAGCAGCCGCGGUAAUACGUAGGUGGCAAGCGUUGUCCGGAUUUAUUGGGCGUAAAGCGAGCGCAGGCGGUUUUUUAAGUCUGAUGUGAAAGCCUUCGGCUCAACCGAAGAAGUGCAUCGGAAACUGGGAAACUUGAGUGCAGAAGAGGACAGUGGAACUCCAUGUGUAGCGGUGAAAUGCGUAGAUAUAUGGAAGAACACCAGUGGCGAAGGCGGCUGUCUGGUCUGUAACUGACGCUGAGGCUCGAAAGUAUGGGUAGCAAACAGGAUUAGAUACCCUGGUAGUCCAUACCGUAAACGAUGAAUGCUAAGUGUUGGAGGGUUUCCGCCCUUCAGUGCUGCAGCUAACGCAUUAAGCAUUCCGCCUGGGGAGUACGGCCGCAAGGCUGAAACUCAAAGGAAUUGACGGGGGCCCGCACAAGCGGUGGAGCAUGUGGUUUAAUUCGAAGCUACGCGAAGAACCUUACCAGGUCUUGACAUACUAUGCAAAUCUAAGAAAUUAGACGUUCCCUUCGGGGACAUGGAUACAGGUGGUGCAUGGUUGUCGUCAGCUCGUGUCGUGAGAUGUUGGGUUAAGUCCCGCAACGAGCGCAACCCUUAUUAUCAGUUGCCAGCAUUAAGUUGGGCACUCUGGUGAGACUGCCGGUGACAAACCGGAGGAAGGUGGGGAUGACGUCAAAUCAUCAUGCCCCUUAUGACCUGGGCUACACACGUGCUACAAUGGAUGGUACAACGAGUUGCGAACUCGCGAGAGUAAGCUAAUCUCUUAAAGCCAUUCUCAGUUCGGAUUGUAGGCUGCAACUCGCCUACAUGAAGUCGGAAUCGCUAGUAAUCGCGGAUCAGCAUGCCGCGGGUGAAUACGUUCCCGGGCCUUGUACACACCGCCCGUCACACCAUUGAGAGUUUGUAACACCC
rnacentral:rRNA from 1 species